ACCGGCUAGGAAAGACGCAACAAGC
rnacentral:misc_RNA from 1 species